rnacentral:rRNA from 1 species
UGCGUAACGCGUAUGCAACCUACCUUAUACUGAGGGAUAGCCCAGAGAAAUUUGGAUUAAUACCGCAUAGUAUAGUGACUUGGCAUCAGGUUAUUAUUAAAGAUUACGGUAAGAGAUGAGUAUGCGUUCUAUUAGCUAGAUGGUAAGGUAACGGCUUACCAUGGCAACGAUAGAUAGGGGCCCUGAGAGGGGGAUCCCCCACACUGGUACUGAGACACGGACCAGACUCC